GUGCUCAUUUUAGCAGCACAUAUAUUAAAAUCAGAACGAUACAGAGAUUAGCAUGGCCCCUGUGCAAGGAUAACAUACAAAUUCGUGAAACAUUCCAUAUUUUU